AUUACAGCUGGAUUACAGAACCCGUAAACAAAUCUAAGCAUGCGAAAUCAUUUCUCGCGAAAGAAACCCAUGUGUUUCGCUCGUCAGCGGCCGAUCGCCGACUUUCCGUGAUUGAAUUCAUGAAUUAAUUAAUGCUGGAAAAUAAUUUUAUAUUUUUAACGCCACGUCGACCGAAUUUUCCGUCAGAAAAUAACGUGUGAUAUAUAGCUGGAGUCAUGAUGAGCACUCUUAGGUCUCUUCAGAGCAAACAUGGCCUAAAUGGAGAAGAAUCCCCAGAUUUUUAAACCUUAAAAGGCGCGCCUGCCUUGGCUUGGGAGCCUCUGGUUUGCAUUUGCUUCGACACGUCAGGCAAAGUGUACCCUGAUUUUUGGCGCUGACAAAGGUUCUCUACAUUUUUGCCAGCAAAAUGAAUGAUUUAGCCAGAGAGACAUUUAGCAGACGACACUUGAAACAAAUGUCAAGAUUUGUGUGGCUUUCUUCAACCAUCCAGAGGGAUUCUGGAGACCACACUGAACAAACACAAGCUUGAUUUCUUCUCACAGUUGCACCAUCAUGGAAAAAGAAGAUCUUCGAAUCUCGCCACGAGUUCAACCUCCAGGUGCACAAAACCAAACGCAGAAACCACGGCACGGUGCAACAGUUCGCGAACGAUUGUCUCUUUUUUUUAAAGUCCAGCUGAUGCGAAAAGUCGCGGGCUGCGGGCAGAACUGAGGAACGUGUGACGGAGUGCAGUGGGUGAGUGAGUUGCAGUGAGUGGGUAGAAGAGAGCAGUGCGCCGCUGGGGAUGUGGCGAUACCGAGCUAUCACCCGUCACUGCCUCAUGCACCCUCGAUGCCUCGCUCGCUCUCUCGACGAGGCGUGCGCCGUUCCUCGCCGAGAGGCGCCACUUCGCUCGCGCCGCUCAAACUACACCAAAAACGACAAACUCAUUCAGAAAAACCUGCUUAUUUUGCAAAUUUAAAAUGAAAUAUAAUGCAAUUCAAAAUUUAAAAAUCAUUUGAAAUAAUAAAUAAAACGGAUGGUUAAUUCUUAUGAUUUUUUUAAAGACAA